rnacentral:rRNA from 1 species
GAUGAACGCUGGCGGCGUGCCUAAUACAUGCCAGUCGAGCGAACAGAUGAGGAGCUUGCUCCUCUGACGUUAGCGGCGGACGGGUGAGUAACACGUGGAUAACCUACCUAUAAGACUGGGAUAACUUCGGGAAACCGGAGCUAAUACCGGAUAAUAUAUUGAACCGCAUGGUUCAAUAGUGAAAGACGGUUUUGCUGUCACUUAUAGAUGGAUCCGCUCCGCAUUAGCUAGUUGGUAAGGUAACGGCUUACCAAGGCAACGAUGAGUAGCCGACCUGAGAGGGUGUCCGGCAACACUGGAACUGAGACACGGUCCAGACUCCUACGGGAGGCAGCAGUAGGGAAUCUUCCGCAAUGGGCGAAAGCCUGACGGAGCAACGCCGCGUGAGUGAUGAAGGUCUUCGGAUCGUAAACCUCUGUUAUUAGGGAAGACCAAAUGUGUAAGUAACUAUGCACGUCUUGACGGUACCUAAUCAGAAAGCCACGGCUAACUACGUG